GCUCACGUAGCUCAGCUGGUUAGAGCAUCGCUCUUAUGAGGUUACCUGCUUGUGGUCACCGGACUACGAAAUGUUAUUCAAUGCGGGGGUCCUGAGUUCAAUCCUCAGCGUGAGUA